rnacentral:lncRNA from 1 species
CCCUGACCUUGAGACUUCAGGCCACAUCUUGUCCCAGACCCCACAGGCCCCAGGCCCAGACUCUCCUCUGAGCCGCUGCCACAGGGGCACCCUGCCAGCCCUCACGCCCAGAGCUUGUGUGGGCACAAGCAAGCACAGGCAGGACACAAGUUCUCCUUCACGCCGGCUGAGCUCAGGGAUGCCCGCCGCAUCUCCCCAGCUGCCCGCACUGUACAAAGGAGAGAGAGGGGUCUCCAGCCACUCACAGCUGGGCAGCCCCACUGCUCUGAUGGGGAAACUGAGGCGGGGCAGCAGUGUGAGUGUGAG